GUAACGAUAUGUGAAAGCUGUACAGGUUGAAGUGUGUAACGAUAUGUAAAAGCUGUACAGAUUGAAGUGUGUAACGAUAUGUAAAAGCUGUACAGGUUGAAGUGUGUAACGAUAUGUAAAAGCUGUACAGGUUAAAGUGUGUAACGAUAUGUAAAAGCUGUAGAGGUUGAAGUGUGUAACGAUAUGUAAAAGCUGUACAGGUUAAAGUGUGUAAUGAUAUGUAAAAGCUGUACAGGUUAAAGUGUGUAACGAUAUGUAAAAGCUGUAGAGGUUGAAGUGUGUAACGAUAUGUAAAAGCUGUACAGGUUAAAGUGUGUAACGAUAUGUAAAAGCUGUACAGGUUGAAGUGUGUAACGA